AGAGUUUGAUCCUGGCUCAGAAUCAACGCUGGCGGCGUUGCCUAACACAUGCAAGUCGAGCGAGAAAGGGGUAGCAAUACCCUGAGUAAAGCGGCGCACGGGUGAGUAACACGUGGGUAACCUACCCUAGAGUGGGGAAUAACACCGGGAAACCGGUGCUAAUACCGCAUACGAUCACGAUGUCUUCGGAUGUUGUGAUGAAAGGAGCAAUUCGCCUCCUGGAGGGGCCCGCGGCUGAUUAGCUAGUUGGUAAGGUAACGGCUUACCAAGGCUACGAUCAGUAUUCCGGUUCUGAAAAGACGGUCGGAACCCCUGGGAACUGAGACACGGUCCAGACUCCUACGGGAGGCAGCAGUGGGGAAUUUUUGGCAAUGGGGGAAACCCUGACCAAGCAACGCCGCGUGGGUGAUGAAGUCUCUUGGGACGUAAAACCCUUUCG
rnacentral:rRNA from 1 species